GAGUUUGUCUGGAGCAAUGAGUACUGCUAAUUCCUCACUACCAUGGUUCAAUUCCAUGGCAAACUCG
rnacentral:tRNA from 1 species